GCUCGUUGACACGUUAUACGAACAAGCGAUGAUGAUUACAAAUAACACGUUAUUUUAUUUUGGUUAUGAAAGGUUUUAUCCAGGGUGAAAAGGGAAUAGGGUUGUGGCUGCGUUCUAUAGGCUCGGCGGGGACCACGUGACCCUAAAACACCCCCAACAUCGGACAACAUUCUUUCGAUAUAAACGUCGAAAACGGCUCGUCGCCAUUCAUUGUAAACCAUUGAUCGAUGCCGUUUGCAAGACGCGUCCACGUGUGAGUCACAAGUGGUGAUCAUGAGUCGAUCCUUGUGCGGCACCGUAACUUUGGCGUGUAGGCUGGAGAAUCAGCUGGUGCGUGCCGGCAACUAGUCGGCAUCGCUUCUCGGCCUUUUGGCUAAGAUCAAGUGUAGUAUCUGUUCGCUUCUCGGCCUUUUGGCUAAGACUGCGAUCGCCUCCUAUCCAGCUGAGUCCUAUACCUGUUGUGGUAUUGGAGUCAGGUUUUAAGGAGGUAAAAAGGUGUGUUUGUGAAAAGUUGUAAUUUUGAAGUGUAUUUAAUUUUCUCUGUUUUUAGGUCAAGUCAUCAGAGAUAUGUACUUUUAGAUCUGGACCGAGCCAUCUUUUACUUCCUCUGGGGCUCCAAGUGGGAAAGACUUAGGAGGGAGGUUGUCAAGAAGACGAAAGAAAAAGGAGGAAAAGGCGUGCCGGACUUCCAGAUCUUCC